GCGAAUUCACGUGCAGUUGUGCGUGAGGUACCCCUGGCUUGAAGAUGCGCGCAUGCGCGGCAGGGUGAGUUUCCUGCGUGAUGCGUGAGUUCGCGUGAUGAGUAUUAAAGCCGUUGCGUUCGAAAACCGCGGCGCGCGCUUCAGUCCGUUGUGGCGCGGUGACUCGCGUAGUUCACGUUGAAUUGUUGAGGCCGUAUUGUGAAAUUGUGCAGGAGAGUGCAGGAGCGGGGAAGGCGUGCAGCGAAGGAUGGGUAAGUUAUCUGUGAAGAACUCGGUGAUUGUCGAUGAAGCUUUUAUCAAUCGUAUGCGCCACGGAGAACAGGGAGGUGAACUGAUGGACCAGCAGACAUUCCCCGCCGACGUCAGGAGGUCGGUGCCAACCGUGAACGGCGGAGCAGAUCGAUCGAGAAACUGAGGGAUACCUACCCGGCAUAGUUCGAGAAAGAAGAGUUCUGGCGCGAGUUCGACCGGGUGGUGGGUUGCUCAGCCGGCUCGAAGCCGGCACUGACCACUACGAGGCCUCGAUGCAGCGGCUUAAAUCAUGGCUAAGCCGAGUUCAAGCGGCAUGCUUCCGCACAAAAGGGAACGGCCCAUUGAGCCUCCUCUGCAUCUUGGCGGAGAAGGCGUCAGUGGUGGCGUACACGGGUGACGAAAAUUUGGAUCACCCCCAUCAUAACAAGUCCGAAGGAAACGAACGGUGCCGCCUCAGCGUAGUUCGAACGGAAGUCUUGUGGGGAUCCAUGGUUUGGAAGGGAGUCUUGCUGUGGGCGACGGCGCACUUUGUGCUCAAUCAACAAACGGC